rnacentral:lncRNA from 1 species
CCCUGCCCAGCCCCAAGCCGAGAAGCUGCAGGCCCCAGUCUUCUUGUCUUCUUGUCUCUCUAAGGCCUCAGCGGGAGAGGUCUCUGGGAAGCAUCCAUGGCCCCGACCACGUGGGACCGCUCAGAACCCUACGGGACCAUGCUCUUGACCACGCGGGAACACUCGGCACACCUGGAACCCUAUGAAACCAUGAUCCCCUACUUUCUCAACGGCCAGACCUGGGCCCCGAUAAGUCAACUCCAAUCACAGAAUCCCCCAGAGGUGCUCACUAUCCGAAUGCACGUGGAAGGCCGGAAGCUGACCGUCGCUCUGCAGAGAAAUGAUGGGCUCUUUGCCAGCCGCUACACGGAAACACACCAUUCGAAAGACGGCACGGAUGUUUCGCUUCGUGGGAAUGGCACGGUAAGCCUCCCGGCAGGGUGGGUCUCACUCCCUGAACUGCAGGUCAUU